rnacentral:lncRNA from 1 species
CACCACCACACGUUGCCAUUUGUAAUACAUACAAGCCAGUUGGAGAAUAUCCAAUGAUAUGAAUCAUGGACACAUUUUCAGCAAAGGAAGAAACAUCCUGCACAAUACUAACAACAUCAAAUUUGCCUUUGUUGAAGCCUCUAAAUCCUAAGCCGCCUUUAUUUUUACCUCUUCCCAAUCUGUGCUACCUCAUCCAAUAAUAGAUAUAUGUAAUUACAAGCCUUCACAGUAACAACAUUUUAGUUUGAAUCAACAAAUUUAUCAACUCUUCCACCUGCACAAGAUGUAACAGAGGAGGUACUCUCAAUACAUAAAAGACCUGUAUAAACACAAGGUCUACGAACCACAACACCAUGAAAAAACAAAAAUUCCAUGUGACAAAAGUAAAUACACGCAUGGCAGAACCAGCAACAGCACAAAACCAACAGCAACAACGUGCCCCUGAAUGACAAUAAGAGCACGUCAAACCAAUAAAUUAGCAUUUUUGCUAACAGUAAUCUACAAAUACUAGUGGAUUUACCAUCAAUAAUUACGUCUCCCGUAUCAAACUGAAAAUAAAGAAAGCAGAGAAGAUGGAAAGAAGGUGAAGAAGGAGAAGAUGUGUGUCGAGAAAGAAGGGGAUUUUCUAAUUUUAAGAGUGAACAUGUAAAUUUGUUGAAAAAGAUGACUUACCCUGAAGAAAAGAGAACACAAAUAUGGAGCUAUAAUUUCGGCAUGGUGGCUGGCAGCGGAAGGAAGAGAAAUGGUGGGUUUGGAAAAUAA